rnacentral:rRNA from 1 species
UGGCCAGACUCCUACGGGAGGCAGCAGUGGGGAAUAUUGGGCAAUGGGCGCAAGCCUGACCCAGCAACGCCGCGUGAAGGAAGAAGGCUUUCGGGUUGUAAACUUCUUUUAAGAGGGAAGAGUAGAAGACGGUACCUCUUGAAUAAGCCACGGCUAACUACGUGCCAGCAGCCGCGGUAAUACGUAGGUGGCAAGCGUUAUCCGGAUUUACUGGGUGUAAAGGGCGUGUAGGCGGGACUGCAAGUCAGAUGUGAAAACCACGGGCUCAACCUGUGGCCUGCAUUUGAAACUGUAGUUCUUGAGUACUGGAGAGGCAGACGGAAUUCCUAGUGUAGCGGUGAAGUGCGUAGAUAUUAGGAGGAACACCAGUGGCGAAGGCGGUCUGCUGGACAGCAACUGACGCUGAGGCGCGAAAGCGUGGGGAGCAAACAGGAUUAGAUACCCUUGUAU